UUGAACGCUGGCGGCAUGCUUACACAUGCAAGUCGAACGGUAACAGGCCUUCGGGCGCUGACGAGUGGCGAACGGGUGAGUAAUGCAUCGGAACGUGCCCAGAGGUGGGGGAUAACGCAGCGAAAGUUGUGCUAAUACCGCAUAUUAUCUGAGGAUGAAAGCGGGGGACUCGCAAGAGCCUCGCGCGAUUGGAGCGGCCGAUAUCAGAUUAGGUAGUUGGUGGGGUAAAGGCUCACCAAGCCAACGAUCUGUAGCUGGUCUGAGAGGACGACCAGCCACACUGGAACUGAGACACGGUCCAGACUCCUACGGGAGGCAGCAGUGGGGAAUUUUGGACAAUGGACGCAAGUCUGAUCCAGCAAUGCCGCGUGCAGGAAGAAGGCCUUCGGGUUGUAAACUGCUUUUGUACGGAACGAAAAGGCUCUGGUUAAUACCUGGGGCUCAUGACGGUACCGUAAGAAUAAGCACCGGCUAACUACGUG
rnacentral:rRNA from 1 species